rnacentral:lncRNA from 1 species
CCUCAAGGCCGGAGGACCACAGGCCUCUCUUUGGGGAGUUCCCAGACUGCCAAAGGGACUGUCCAGCACCGAUGGCCAAGCAGGGGCUGGCACCAACUUCCUCUCGGAUGGCGCCCCUGGUGGCUGUCUCGGCAAUUGUAUUAGAACUCCGGUAAAGUGGCUCUAAGGGACGGGGCUGUCAUUCGUUACAUGGCCACUGAGGGCCUAUGGAGAACUCGGGUAUUGGUUGGCAGCUGGCAAUCCACAAACAAGGUGCUGGGAGGACGGGCAGAACAGCCCCAACAUGGGGCUUGAACUCAGGAUCCCGAUAUUGAGACCUGAUUUGAGAUCGAAUCAGACGCUUAGCCGACUGAGGCACCCAGGUGCCCCUCU